AGUUGUUUGGGGAUUUUUGGGAACAUCGGUAAAUUAGGGUUCUUGAUUGAUUUGGGGAUUUUUCUUGUAAUUAAAUUAUGCUAAAUUGAAUGAGUAAUAGUCUAUAUUAGUGUAGUUUACAUACGUUUUAUGCAUAUUUUGGAUGUAAUUGGUUUGUUAUUGGCAUAUGAUCGGUUUUGUUUGUGUUUGCAUAUACUAAUUUUUUUGGGUAUAUGUUUUUGACGAGGGUACAUGGAUAAACAAACAUAGAUGGUUCAUCAAGCAGAGUCAGAUGGCAUGUUUUUGACGAGUGUAUCACAUAUCCAAAGGUUAACUUGGGAGACAAUAAAGAGCUGAUGUUGGAAGCAAUCAAGCAUUCUUUGCAGUGCAAAUGCAAGGGAUAUGAUGGAGUAAUGAUCGUUGGUUUUGAUGACUUCAAUGGGAAGAUGGCUUGUAUUUGAUGGUGUGGGAUAAGAUGUUGGUCACGAGUGAUAAGAUUUACUAGGCUGAGUUUUAAAAGCUUUACCCACAUGUAUAUUCCACAUGUUGUUGGAUGAAUAUUUUACCCACAUGUAUUUGGAUGACAUUUGUAAGCCACAACUUUAUGUUUUGUAAUUGUAUACCACAAGUUUCG